rnacentral:rRNA from 1 species
AGGAAGGUAGUGUAGUUAACACCUGCAUAUUUGACGUUACCUACAGAAGAAGCACCGGCUAACUCCGUGCCAGCAGCCGCGGUAAUACGGAGGGUGCGAGCGUUAAUCGGAAUUACUGGGCGUAAAGCGCAUGCAGGCGGCCUGUUAAGUCAGAUGUGAAAGACCCGGGGCGUUAACCUCCGGAAUUGCAUUUGAAACUAGGCAGGCUAGAGUCUUGUAGAGGGGGUAGGAAGUUCUAGGUGUAGCGGUGAAAUAGCGUAGAGAUCUGAAGGAAUACCAGUGGCGAAGGCGGCCCCCUCGGACAAAGACUGACGCUCAGAUGCGAAAGCGUGGGGAGCAAACAGGAUUAGAUACCCUGGUAG